CUGCUUGCUUCGAUAACAUAUAUACUAAAAUUGGAACAAUUCAAAGAAAAUUUGCAUGGCCCCUGUGCAAGGAUUAUUCUACCAGGUGAAACUCAGGUUUAU